rnacentral:rRNA from 1 species
GACGAACCGUCCUAACGUUGUUCGGAAUCACUGGGCUUAAAGGGCGCGUAGGCGGGUUCCCAAGUCGGUGGUGAAAUCUUUCGGCCCAACCGGAAAACAGCCGCCGAUACUGGGAGUCUUGAGGGAGGUAGGGGUCGAUGGAACUUCCGGUGGAGCGGUGAAAUGCGUAGAUAUCGGAAGGAACGCCGGUGGCGAAGGCGGCCUUCUGGACAGUGACUGACGCUGAGACGCGAAAGCGUGGGGAGCAAACAGG